AUUGAACGCUGGCGGCAUGCUUUACACAUGCAAGUCGGACGGCAGCACCGAGAAGCUUGCUUCUUGGGUGGCGAGUGGCGAACGGGUGAGUAAUAUAUCGGAACGUACCGAGUAAUGGGGGAUAACUAAUCGAAAGAUUAGCUAAUACCGCAUAUUCUUUGCGGAGGAAUGCAGGGGACCUUCGUUCCUUGCGUUAUUCGAGCGGCCGAUAUCUGAUUAGCUAGUCGGGGGGGUAAAGGCCUACCAAGGCGGCGAUCAGUAGCGGGUCUGAAAGGAUGAUCCGACACACGGUGAGUGAGACACGGCCCACACUCCUGCGGGAGGCAGCAGUGGAGAAUUCUAGACAAUGGGGCAGAGCCGGAUACAGGCAUGCCGCGUGUCUGCAGAAGCCCUACGGGUGGGAAAGGGAUUAAGUCAGGGAGGAAAAGGCUGUUGCUAAUACCGACAGACGAUGACGGUACCUGAAGAAUAAGCACCGGCUAACUACGUG
rnacentral:rRNA from 1 species